UAUGUUUGUGAUAGAAAACGAAACUAAACUUUGUCUAAGGCUAGAGGAGAGCAGGGCACAAACUAACGCGGGGUUAGUUGUCACACACGUGGUUUAAACGUUUCCACACACGCUGAACAAACAGAAUGUUGAGCUUUGGUUCCUCGCAAGGUUUCUUUCCUUCUCUGAGAGUUUCUUCACUGCCACAGUUUGCUCACUGGAGAACUUUUAAUGCUUCAUGGGGUUGUAGUUCCUUCUUUAACCCUAUAACGCCAUGUGCAUCAAAUAUGAUACACAACGUUUGACGGAUCCUGUUUCAUUCUCUGUUGAAGCUGACGAGCCAAACAAUGAAAGAUGUUUGAAGUCAUUUGCCUUCAAGUUCACACAGGUGUCCAAGCAGAUGAACAACAGGUGGAGUUCAGCUCAUUAACUAUCAACAUGAGACACUAGCACAUUGAUAAACACAAAGUGUCACAAUAAUGCAUGUCUUCUAUUUCAACACUAGAUUUAUCAUUACAAUUACAAAUGUUUCAGAAUAGUCUACUUGUAUAAACAGAAAAUGAGAGCGUUCUCUGAGCGUACAAUGCAAACAGUGGCUAACAUUGUCUGCUCAUGUGUGCUUCAAUUUCCCUGAAAGAUGGCACAAGAGUGCGAGUAAAGUGAGAAAAUGAGACUUUUCUAAUACUUUUCCAUAGGUCUCAGCUAAAGGGAGAGAAUUAUGUUUGGUGUGAUGCCUUUAAUGUUUUUUACGGUUAUAAUCUUUAGCAGUUACGGUAUUAAAAAUCACUUGAGACUGCCAGAUUUCUCUCUCUCAGACUAAGACAAGUGCAGCUCUGUGGUGUGUGUGUGUGUGUGUGUGUGUGUGUGCCUCCUGUUUGGCAGAAAUUGGCCGGGACAGUCACAAUUACCCUGUGGCCGACCGAAGCAUUUCCUGGCCAAACCACAUUCACCUCCUUCUGUAUUGAGAAGAUCAGAGACGUCUGCAGGUGAGACGGACAGAACAGUGACGCAGAAAACAGCUGCAGGUCCCUCUGGAACACCUGUCGCCAUGACACACACACGCCAGUGAAGAGAGGGAAUUAGAAGGGGGAAAAAGAAAAAGAGACCAAAAACAGCCAUUUAUUUACUUUUCAGCUGCGUGUCUGUGGUAACACCUCUGCCAGCACACAGAGAGAGAGACGGGCAUAAAAGAGAGGAGCUGACAGGGACUGAAAACAUUCCAAGGAACGAAAACCAAAAGCAAACACAUUUUUUUUUACAGAACAUAACCGAAAACGGGAACACUUUCAAUUGUUACUGAGUGAAAACUUUAUUUUAAAUGUUGGUAACUGGUUAAUAAAAAUGUUUUUUCC